AUGGCGCAGACUUCGGUGAGCAGAGACUUCAGGAACAUUUCCACAGCUCGAGCUGGUCUCUGCGGUUCAGGACUUCAACGCGUCAGCUGUGCUCCACCUGAAGCAGGAACUCACCUGAAGAACGGAAGAAGAAACACACACCUGAGGUCAACCCGCUCGUGACCCCGCUCGUGACGUCACGACCCCCGCAGUUUACCUUUCUGGUUCAUGAUAAAUCAUCAUUUUUAGCGGGAUCUAUUAUCUAUUAUCAUUAUACAUUAUACAUUGAGUUGAAAGCUCUGGGAAAAAACACUAAGAGAACUUUGAAACAUUUUCUUUUGAUAAAUAACGUUUUUAAGUGUAAUUAAAAAUCAGCAAAAGGCUAGUUAUUUUAAAAUGUGCAUGAUUUAAUCUUAAGUUGUUAUUUUUCCUUAUUUACACUUCUUCAUCCUGGUACAAAGUUGUGUUUAACUUAAGCUAUCCACUGGUUUGAAGAGUUAAAGGUCAUCAUUAAAAAUGGAUCGGAUUCAGUUUACGACUGCUGUGGUUCCACUACAAAGAUAUGAGAGAAAAGUUGUUUGAACACCAAUAAAGCUUCACACCAACAUGA